rnacentral:lncRNA from 1 species
AGAAUAUUAUUAUGAUGAUAUCAAUAUAUGUUUUUUGUAUUUGCAUAUACAAAUGGAUUUGGAUAUCAUUUAUAUUUUAAUAACGAAACCACAACAUCCACAAACGUAUUAGAGUUUGGAUUUUAAAAACAAACCUCGAAUAAAUGAUGGGAUUUGUAAGAAAAUUAUUACUGUAGGGUUUUGGGCUGGUUUGGAUGGAAAAUCCCGUUCCAAAGUUAGGGGACACCUUCCACCCAUAUAAAUAAAUCCCAAUUUUACACAUCUGGCCUGAAUUAAAAUUGCUUUAUUUCGGGGUGGAAGUGACUCCAGACCGGAAUAAAAUCAUAGAAAAAAAAUUCAAAAGCUUUCGCUGCCAUAUGUUUGGAGCGGAGCUGCCGUCCCAAAUGCCAAGACGUGUUGAAGGCUAGCUGGGUGUUUAGGGACGAUUGUCCCAUAUUUCCAGCUUUCCCGAGUUGCAUUGUUGUCGAAAGUUCUGCUGUGGGUUGGAAAAAUAUGUGCUGGAGCUGGGUAAAAAUAUCCCAUAAAAUUACCAUAUUGCAAAGGACAACAAUCGCCGAGCUCGGAUGCUUGGGGAAGGAGCGGCGGGCUCGGGCUGUAAACAGGAUGUGCUGGGCCCCAGGCACGGGGGGAGCUCGGCGGGACAAAUCCCGGGCUCCAGGGACAAAUCCUGGGAUAAAGGGACGAAUUCUGGGAUAAAGGGACAAAUUCUGGGCUAAAGGGGCAAAUUCUGGGCUAAAGGGACAAAUUCUGAGCUCCAGGGACAAAUUCUGGGCUAGAGGGACAAAUCCUGGGCUAAAGGGACAAAUCCCGGGCUCGAGGGACAAAUUCUGGGCUCAGGCCUCGGUGCAACUCCCUCAGAGCACCGAGGGACAAAUCCCGGUCUCGGGGCUGGAGCAGCUCCCUCAGAGCACCGAGGGACAAAUCCUGGGCUCGAGGGACAAAUCCUGGGCCCGGGACUCGGUGCAGCUCCCUCAGAGCACCGAGGGACAAACCCCGGGCUCGAGGUUCAAAUCCCGGGCUCGAGGGACAAAUUCUGGGCUCGGGCCUCGGUGCAGCUCCCUCAGAGCACCGAGGGACAAAUCCCGGGCUAAAGGGACAAAUCCCGGGCUUCAGGGACAAAUGCCGGGCCCGGGGCU